rnacentral:rRNA from 1 species
GAUGAACGCUAGCUACAGGCUUAACACAUGCAAGUCGAGGGGCAGCAUGAUUGAAGCUUGCUUCAAUCGAUGGCGACCGGCGCACGGGUGAGUAACACGUAUCCAACCUGCCGAUAACUCGGGGAUAGCCUUUCGAAAGAAAGAUUAAUACCCGAUAGUAUAGUAUUUCCGCAUGGUUUCACUAUUAAAGAACUUCGGUUAUCGAUGGGGAUGCGUUCCAUUAGAUAGUUGGCGGGGUAACGGCCCACCAAGUCAACGAUGGAUAGGGGUUCUGAGAGGAAGGCCCCCCACAUUGGAAAUGAGACACGGUCCAAACCCCUACGGGAGGCAGCAGGGGGGAAUAUUGGUCAAGGGACGGGAGUCUAAACCAGCCAAGUAGCGGGAAGGAUGCCGGCCCUAUGGGUUUUAAAUUUUUUUUAUACGGGAAAAAAGGGGGGUAUGCAUACUCCUUGUUAUGUACCGUAUGAAUAAGGAUCGGCAAACUCCGG